rnacentral:rRNA from 1 species
GUGGUUACUAAUAAGGGUAUACGGUGGAUGCCUUGACACCAAAAGACGAUGAAGGACGUAGCAAUCUGCGAUAAGCUUCGGGGAGGUGAUAAGCAACCUAUGAGCCGGAGAUUUCCGAAUGGGGAAACCCUUCCGUAUGAAGUACGGAAACCACUAAGUGAAUACAUAGCUUAGUAGGAGGUAACCUGGGGAAUUGAAACAUCUUAGUACCCAGAGGAAGAGAAAGAAUUAAUAUGCUAAUUAAAACUAUUGAGAAUUUCGGUUGUCAUUAGUUUUAAUUAGUAUCUCGAUUCCCUGAGUAGUGGCGAGCGAAACGGGAAGAGCCUAAACCUUAGAAUAGAUAAAUUAUUUUGAUCUUUUGGACUUCGGUUCAAGAGUGAGAGAUAGUGCAAUGGUUGUAAGCCUAAUGCUAUCUACGGGUGUUGUAAGAGGCUAUCGUUUGGAAGCUUACAGGUUCCGAGCAGUUAAUGAAUAUUAUUUAGUAGAACAGUUUGGAAAAUCUGACCAAAGACGGUGAAAGUCCGGUAUACGAAAAAUAAUAAUCAGCUGUUGAUAGUUUUCUUGAGUACCACGAGACCGGAGAAAUCUUGUGGGAAGCUAGCAUCACUAUGUGCUAAGGCUAAAUACUUUUGGUGAUCGAUAGUGAACAAGUACCGUGAGGGAAAGGUGAAAAGCACCCCGAGAGGGGGAUGAAAUAGUUUCUGAAACCGUAUACUUACAAGGAAUCGGAGCCCUAUAUCGAGUUUACUCGAGAUGGGUGACGGUGUGCCUAUUGAAGAAUGAGCCAACGAGUUAGCUAUAUGUAGCUUAUUUAACUCCUUUGGGAGGUAGGUAAAGUGAAAGCGAGGAUUAAUAGUCCGUAACAAACUUUAUACUUUGUCCAAUUUAUUGGGCAGGGUAUAAAUUUUGUAGGCUGCAUAUACUAGACCCGAAACCGGGUGAGCUUACCAUGACCAGGGUGAAGCGACCGUAACAAGUCGUGGAGGCCCGAACCCACUAGCCGUGCAACACUAGGGGAUGAGUUGUGGUAAGAGGAGAAAUUCCAAUCGAACUCGGCAAUAGCUGGUUCUCCUCGAAAUAGUUUUAGGACUAGCCUCAAAGUUUAAGUUUUGGUGGUAGAGCACUGGAUGGAGUGGGGUGGCAUUGCGUCCAUACCCACUUCAAUCAAACUCCGAAUGCCAUUACGUAUACUUUGGGAGUCAGACCAUGGGGGCUAAGCUUCAUUGGUCAAAAGGGAAACAGCCCAGAUCUCAAUCUAAGGUCCCAAAAUCUAAGUUAAGUGUAAAAGGUGGUAAAGUGACUUAUACAACUAGGAGGUUGGCUUAGAAGCAGCCAUCCUUUAAAGAUAGCGUAAUAGCUCACUAGUCAAGUUACUUCGCGCCGAUAAUUUAACGGGGCUAAACUUAGUACCGAAGAUGAGAACUUUCGUCUUUAUUGACGAAAUUGGUAGAGGAGCGUUCUAUACUGCGUUGAAGCGGUACCGUGAGGAGCCGUGGAGUGUAUAGAAGUGAGAAUGUUGGCAUGAGUAGCAAAAAUCGGGGUGAGAAUCCCCGACACCGCAAACCCAAGGUUUCCUGGGCAACGUGAAUCGACCCAGGGUUAGGCAAUCCUAAGGCGAGGCCGAAAGGCGUAGUCGAUGGAAGAGCAGGUUAAUAUUCCUGCCCUACUGCUAAUUUUCGAUGAGGGGACGCAGAGUGAAAUUUUUUCGCGCUAUUUGGUUAUGAGCGUUGGUCGUUAGUAGUGUGUUUUUUAGGUAAAUCCGGAAGACAUUAAGCACGAAAGCGAUCAGAAGAUUGCGGCUACGGCCAAAGUCAAUGAAAAGCGAAGCUUUGUCCAGAAAAGCCUCUAGAGCUAAGUUAGUAGUAUCUGUACUGCAAACCAACACAGGUGGGUGAGGAGAGUAUCCUCAGGUGUACGAGAGAACCUUCGUUUAGGAACUCGGCAAAACAGCGGCCGUAACUUCGGAAUAAGGCCCGCCCUGCUUUGCAGGGCCGCAGCGAAAGAUUUCAAGCGACUGUUUACCAAAAACUUAGGUCCCUGCUAAAGCGUAAGCUGAUGUAUAGGGGCUGAUGCCUGGCCAGUGUCCGAACGUUAAGGGGAGGGGUUCACGCCCUGAACUGAAGCGCGGAUGAACGCCGGCCGUAACUAUAACGGUCCUAAGGUAGCGAAAUUCCUUGACGGGUGAGUUCCGUCCUGCACGAAUGGCAUAACGACUUGAAAACUGUCUCAACGAAGGACUCGGCGAAAUUGCAAGACGAGUAAAGAUGCUCGUUACCCAUAGCUAGACGAAGAGACCCCAUGAAGCUUUACUACAAUUUGGUAUUGAUUUAGGAUCAUAUUUGUUCAGGAUAGGUGGGAGACUUUGAAGCUGUAACGUAAGUUACGGUGGAGUCAUCCUUGAGAUACCACCCUGAUAUGAUUUUAAAUCUAACUUAGUCCCAUGAAUCUGGGACAAGGACAGUAUCUGACGGGUAGUUUAACUGGGGCGGUUGCCUCCCAAAAUGUAACGGAGGCGUUUACAAAGGUUGGCUAGCUCCUGAUGGAAACAGGAGUCGUCGUGCAAACGCAUAAGCCAGCUUUACUGCAAGAGCUACAACUCGAGCAGUUGCGAAAGCAGAAGUUAGUGAUCCGACCGUACGAUAUAGGACGGCGGAAGCUCAACGGAUAAAAGUUACUCUGGGGAUAACAGGCUGAUCCUGCCCAAGCGCCCACAGCGACGGCAGGGUUUGGCACCUCGAUGUCGGCUCAUCGCAUCCUGGGGGUGGAGAAGCUCCCAAGGGUUAGGCUGUUCGCCUAUUAAAGCGGUACGCGAGCUGGGUUCAGAACGUCGUGAGACAGUUCGGUCUCCUAUCUGCUAUGGGCGUUGAAUUUUGAAGGGUCUCCUUUCUAGUACGAGAGGACCGAAAGGAACGAACCUCUAGUGUACCAGUUGUUUUACCAAAAGCAUCGCUGGGUAGCUACGUUCGGUUAAGAUAAGUGCUGAAAGCAUAUAAGCACGAAGCUGUCCCUAAGAUUAGAAUUCAUUAUAGAUUCCUGGGAGACUACCAGGUUGAUAGGCUAUAUGUGUAAGUGCAGUAAUGCAUUAAGCAAAGUAGUACUAAUAAAUCGAAGUAACCACUA